UUCGUAGGCGGUUUAUCAAGUCUUGCGUCAAAGCUCCAGGCUUAACUUGGGAAAGGCGCCAGAUACUGGUAGACUUGAGGAUGGAAGAGGUGAGCGGAACGUUGCAAGUAGCGGUGAAAUGCAUUGAUAUGCAACGGAACACCAAUGGCGAAGGCAGCUCACUGGUCCACACCUGACGCUGAGGGACGAAAGCUAGGGAAGCAACG
rnacentral:rRNA from 1 species